CAGAAAUGUACCACUGGCCAAACAUGAGCAAUUAAAUUAAAGAACGUAUCAGCCAUUGCGGUGCUUUUAACAACUACCAAGCUAAACAAGCUAGAGAACUGUUGAUGAAACAUGACAUCCCAGACAGACCAUGGAUGAAGCUCUUCAUUAUGGCAUUAUGGUGAAGGCCUCUUCACUAUAGCAGGAACUGGUUAUCUUGUUACUGUACACCACUAUUCUGACUACUGGGAGGUAGACCAGCUGACUUCAACAACAACAGGAGGGAUAGUGGAAUACUUGAAAGUACAUUUAAUUUGUUACGGCAUUCCAAACAUUGUGAUGAGUGGCAAUGGCCCUCAGUUCACAAGUGAAGAAUUCAACCACUUCUCAAAGGAUUGAGAAAUUCAGCACUAUACAUCAUCCCUGCACUAUCCCCAAUCGAAUGGAAAAGCUGAGGCGGCAGUGAAUAUUGCCAAAGGAAUCAUCAAGAAAUCUAGCACAGAUGUAUGCAAGGCAAUUUUAAGUGGAGAAACACACCAAUUGAAGGCAUGGAAAGUAGUCCAGUCCAAAGACUAAUGUCAUGUCACACCCAAACUACUCUUCCAAUAGCAUAAAAGCUACUGAAGCCAAAGUUGUAACAGUCAUGAGUGAAAAAAAUCAAGGUGGAUCAGCAGAAAGCUAAAUUUCAUUUUGACAAGACUGCCAAGCCAGGGUUAAACAUUGGUGAGCCCACCAAGGUACAAACCUUAAAUGCUCUUAACAGGACUCAGUAGAACAUGUGUAGAGCAGUUGUCACCUCAAUCAAGCAUUGUGGAAGUGAACAACCAAAUAUACUGUCGCAACCACAGGCAUACACAAACAACUAGAGAAGCUGUUCCUUCAUUGUAGGUGGCCGAUCAGGAAGAUGGGAUCUCGCCAGCUGCAGAGAGUACAAAAUAGCCAUCACCUCCAGAGGUCCACCGGUACCCAACAAUAGAAAUGGAACAACAACAACAGUUACAACUGCAACAAGUACCAUGGGAACAACAGUCCCCACAGAAGGAACAUCAUCCUACCAUUAAGAGACUUGCACAAUUUAACAACUAUGUGUUCAAUGCAAGUGCAGAGUCUGACAAGAAUAAUAAACAGUUUGUUAAUGCAUGAUAAAAAAUGUGGUGUAGUCAGAAACUCACAGUUACACAUGAUAGUGCAUGCAAAGUUGUCUGUUGUUUGUUGUGGAAAGGGGGAUGUUUGAGUUUUGAAAUGUAAUAAUUACUAAAUGUCCUACCUGGCUUACCAUGGUCAUGUGACAUCUGUCAUGAGGGGAUGUCUGAGGCAGCCAUUAUACAUUCAGUGCAAUAAAGCAUUACAUUGGAAAGACUGCAGUCUUUGAGCUCAUAACAACCAUAGUGAGGUGCCAUGCCCUAAGAGGAUGUUGGUGACCAUUGCAUUGGUCCAUGAUUAUGCUGGAAAAGUGUUGGAGUUAUUUGCCAUUUCCUCCUGCAGUAUGGCUGACUGGGAAACGCUCCCGCUCUUACCACCUGUCAUGAUGGUGAAGAAUCAACUUGACUGGCCACAUUAUGUGGUCAUCAAGUUAUGAAAUGGGACCCAGAGCUUCUGGCUGAGCGUUAGGGAUGCUACCACUAUGCCACAAGACUCCACAGAAAUUGCAAUCUGUUGUGAAAUCAGUUAAAGAACAAGAAAGGAACAAAAUUCAUCAAUCAGAAUUUUACCAGACUUUUUGGAGCAAGUUUGGAAUGGAAGGUUGCAGUCAGAUGCAUGUCUGAUAACAAUCUCUGACACAUGGGAGCAGACGGUGUUUGAUCAGAAAUCUGAUGUUUUGAUGUCCCUUCCAGAUUUUACCAACACAAGUAAUCAUAGAGGGCAUUCUUCAGACAUCAAUUAAGGAAGGCUCAUCAAAUUAAGUCCUAAUGAGGCCGCUCCCAGGAUCAAGGACCCCGGGGUCAGAAAUCCCACCUGCUGAGAGCUGCCACCAAUCAAAGGCUGGAAGCACUUCGAUGCUCGACAGAGCCACUGAGGAAGUGGUGGCUGCUGCCAGUAGUAUACCAACCUGAGGCCCAGAUUGGCUGACACAGAUGGACCCAGGCACAGAACAGAGUAAAAACAACUGCUGGUGACCCCAAGGAAAUCUUAUACUGCAGAACACUCUACAUCCCAAGCAAUAACUGGCAGUUAACCUACAUGGUUACACGCACGCACCCUGAACAAAGUACAAAAUGAGUAAUAGUGGCUGGGGGAGAAGAACAAGUGGUUUCACUUACAUAAAAUGAGAUAGCAGCAGAUCAGAGAUUACAGUAAGUAUAGCUCAGCUCUGGUUCAGUUCAGGCUCUGCUCCAGAGAUUAAAACACACUUGAUCUUUUUUAAUGAGCUAAUCUUUCCCUCAAAUUUGUGCUAACAUUUUGUAAUCUAAUUUUCCCACAGAAAGCCUUAAAAAAUUCAUAGCUUCUGCUUAUAAACAAAUAUUGCUGUCAGAGGAUCUUGUCCAAGAUUGCACCUUACACAGCGAGGUCUAGCAAGGCAACCACGACUUAGUUGUACAGUUUCGAGCAGUUGACUACACUGCAGUCUGUAAUGGUGUAAAUGGCAAUUCCUGUGGUGUACAGCAUAACUCGCAGGCACAAAUUUCAAAACAGAGUGGAAGCACCCUUCAUGAAUGCUCAUGCUGCUGCUAAGAAAUACCAGACUUAAUGAUGCACCUUAGUUAACAUAUCAAAUUCAGACCUGCCAGGGAAAAUUCCUCAGAUUCAGUAGCAUCAGUUACCUAAGAGAGUGAUCUGAGCAUUAUUCCUAUAUCAACCUGUACAUGAGAAUGAUUUGGAGUUGUAACAAGGAAGGAGAAAUUCAAUUACAGCCAUUCAUUUUGCUCCUCCUUGACGACAGACCAAGGAAAACACUCGAGAGACAAUGCAUGCGAAAAAUUAUUGAAGAGAAUGGUAGUGAAGUGGGAAUGUUACCGGACUAGUAACCAGAGGUUCAGACUAAGGCUCCAGAGACACAAGUUCAAAUCCCACCGUAGUAGCUCAGGGACUUAAAUUCAAUGCAUUUUAAAAAUCUGCAAUCAAAAAUUCGACUCACUAGGAAGAAGCACUGAAGGUAGAAGAGGCAAAGAAUGUACCCAGAAUGAGAGACUUUAAUGCCCAUCACCAAGACUGACUCAAUAGCACCAUGAGUGACCAAGCUGGCAGAUCCCUGAAGGGCAUAUCUGGCUGACAGGUGAUGAGAGAACCAACAAAAACCUACUUAAAUACAAAUUAGCAAUAGGCCCUUUGUGCCCACUCUGCCAUUCAAUAAGAUCAUGAUGAUCUGACUAAUCUCAGCCCCACAUUCCCACCUAUCCCUCGAUAACCUUUCAACCCCUUUCUUAUGAAGAACCUAUCUAGCUCUGCCUUAAAAAUAUUCAAAAAUUUGCUUCCACUGCCUUUUGAGGAAGAAAGUUCCAAAAACUCACAAUCAUCUGAGAAAAAAAAUUUAUCCUCAUCUUUGUGAUUCUUAGUAGCAGAUUCUCCCACAACAGGAAACAUCCUCUUCACAUCCACCCUGUCA